rnacentral:lncRNA from 1 species
CACCAGUUUAUGACUUCACUUCACAGUUUAUGAUGUGCUGCUUCUUCAGAACACUUGACCGUUCCACCCGGAUGUUCUGUUGUGUCUCCUCUAACAUUCUCAGCGAUUUGUUAACCGGAUCGUCAUCUUGUGGAGUUUCAAGAGGGAACGGAGAGAAGUGCAUACAUCUGGCCUGGCGUUAUAUCCUCUAGAAUAAUUUGAAGAGGAAAUAAUUUAUUCUAGCUUUUGCAAGGUUAUAGCUCUGUGGAGAAAGGAAGCCGCCCACUCCACUGCUGGUGUGACUGACAACAGAUGCCUGAGUUCUGCUCUUCUGUAUUACACAGUCUGUUCGAGCGCCUCUGAUGUGCAGAAUGGGAGUUAUACCUGCAUGUCUGCAGCACAGCCGUCUAAGAUAUCAGGUGGCUUCUUCAAAUGAAUUUUUAAGUUAAUGAAGAAGAUCAGAGACGUCAAUUAGGAACUGGGAAGACAAGGCUGCAGGAAGUGCUUAAAGGAGCCGUGAAGGGGUGAUGGGAACAUCCUAGCACAUGACAAAGGGGCUGAGUGAAUACCAGAGAAACUUCCUGUGGAAAAAGUCCUAUUUGUCAGAGUCCUAUAAUCCCUCAGUGGGGCAAAAGUACACAUGGGCAGGACUUAGAUCGGACCAGUUGGACUCUCAGGUGCAGAAACACAAAGGCUCAGCGAAUCAGGUGUUUCAGGCGGUAUAAAAUAGCAUGGUAGCAGACAGGUCGAAGAGUA